rnacentral:rRNA from 1 species
AACGAACGCUGGCGGCAUGCCUAACACAUGCAAGUCGAACGAGAUCUUCGGGUCUAGUGGCGCACGGGUGCGUAACGCGUGGGAAUCUGCCCUUUGGUUCGGAAUAACAGUUGGAAACGACUGCUAAUACCGGAUGAUGACGAAAGUCCAAAGAUUUAUCGCCAGAGGAUGAGCCCGCGUAGGAUUAGCUAGUUGGUGUGGUAAAGGCGCACCAAGGCGACGAUCCUUAGCUGGUCUGAGAGGAUGAUCAGCGACACUGGGACUGAGACCCGGCCCCGACUCCGACGGGAGGCAGCAGUGGGGAGUGUUGGCCCAUGGGCGAAAGCCUGUUCCAGCAAUGCCGCGUGAGUGGCGCAGGCCGUCGGGUUGUAAAGCUCUUUUACCCGGGAUGAUAAUGACGGUACCGAGAGAAUAAGCUCCGGCUAACUCCGUGCAAGCAGCCGCCGUAA